rnacentral:lncRNA from 1 species
CCACAGUGUUUCCUAGCACAGGAGCACAGACAGUAGGUGGUGAAUGAAGAUGUGCCAGGCGCUAUGUUAGAGGAUGAGAAUACAAAGAGGCUGACCCUGCUUUCCGGGAAUUUAAGAGUCCAGUGGAGAAGAGACAAGUAAACAAUUACAAUCCAAUGGCUAAGGGCUAUAAUAGAGGUUCCUCCAAGGUGCUAUUUGAGCACAGAGAGAUGUUAACUGCUUGAGAAGGCUUUCCAAAGGAGAAGUAGAGUCCUAAAAGAUGGGUAAGAGUCUAAGUGACUUGGUAGAGAUGAGCAUGCCAGGCAUGGAGAAUAGCCUGUGAAAUGGCAUGAAGCUGUAAGGAAAAAAAAUAGUGCAUUAAAGAAAUGGAGAAUAUGAAUGCAACAAACUUAAUAAGAAUAAUAAGAGAAAACGUGUGCUGGGCACCAUGCUAAAAGAUUACACGGAUUAUCUCCUUUAAUUAUAAAGCAUUAAGGAAAACUGUUUUGUGGGCAGUCAAGACAGAAGUCUCCGUGAGAAGAGGAUUCAUGAACACUGACUCAGGGAGGAAGUAGGUGGGGGAGGAAGAAAAGGCUGCACACUGAUUUAAAAAAAGAAAGAAAAACGCCUGCUGCCUCAUAUUCAUGACUUCAAUGUAAAUGGCUGAGCACUUACAAACUGUUAACCAACACAACGCCAGCCUGUAAGAAGGCUCUGAGCCAGGUCAUCCAGGGUCAUAGGAGCACUAUCUCAAGGAGGAAGGCCUCAAGAAAGAUGCAACCCAGGAGAAUCAGAGUAAUAGUCUUCCUUUUGUUUAGUGCUUUAUGCUUUACAAAGCAUUCUUGAAUGUAAUCUCAACCACGGAGAGCCUGUAAGUGUAUGCACCACUGGAGUGAUUCUAUAGAGCCCAUCAUUGAUUCCACAAUGUUUCUAUCAAGGUAGAUGGAGGAGGUAUUCCUUUCUCUGGGCCAGUUAUCAGUGGAAACAGGAUUCCAGAGGAUGGUGACUCAAGACAUUUGGCUAGAAGCCUGGCUGGAACAGGAACUCUGAAAGCAAGGUCUCUUCCCUGCCUCUCUGUGCCAUCCUUUCAGGUUCCCAAGAGAAUGUCUGCAUACCACAUCCUUGGGUUUUCGUCACUGCAUAACUCCGCCUGUGAUUGUGUCCUCAGCCUACCCAGCCUAAACUGUUCCCCACUUCCUUCCUUGCCCAAGUUUCUUUUCAGUACACACCCAUCAUGUUUCUUCCUCCCCCAGCAUCACCUGUCUUUCUCAAGUCCUAUCGAUUGCUAAUAUGCGUCUCAGUUGUGUCACUUGUGUUCUGCAGAAAACUGCCCACUUGGUUCCAGUAUGAUUAGAAAUGUUUUGAAACUUUGUUUUGCUUCUGAGUGCAAUGAUUUGGGAUCCCAUAUACUCUGGAGCAGAGGUUUUCAAACUUUGGAGUGCGAAUCGCCUCAGAGGCUGGUUAAACAUACAGGUGCAGGGGCCCCACUUGAG